rnacentral:rRNA from 1 species
UGGCGGACGGGUGAGUAAUGUCUGGGAAACUGCCUGAUGGAGGGGGAUAACUACUGGAAACGGUAGCUAAUACCGCAUAACGUCGCAAGACCAAAGAGGGGGACCUUUGGGCCUCUUGCCAUCGGAUGUGCCCAGAUGGGAUUAGCUAGUAGGUGGGGUAACGGCUCACCUAGGCGACGAUCCCUAGCUGGUCUGAGAGGAUGACCAGCCACACUGGAACUGAGACACGGUCCAG